rnacentral:RNase_P_RNA from 1 species
AGCAGGAAAGAUGGUCGCGGGCGGUCUCCGUCCGAGGAAAGUCCGAGCUCCGCAGGGCAGGGUGCUGGAUAACGUCCAGCGAGGGCGACCUUAGGGAAAGUGCCACAGAAAAGAAACCGCCUGCUUCCGGCAGGUAAGGCUGAAACGGUGCGGUAAGAGCGCACCAGCGGUCAGGCGACUGGCCGGCUAGGUAAACCCCACCCGGAGCAAGAUCGAAUAGGGAAGAGAUGAGGCGGCCCGCUGAACUUCCGGGUUGUAUCGCUGGAGCUGACAGGUAACUGUCAGCCUAGAUAGAUGACCAUCGCCGCCGUCUGGCGGAACAAAACUCGGCUUACUGA